AAACCUCUGGUGAACUUGUUGGUCCUGUUAAACGUCGGAGGAUCUUCGUUUGUGUAGAUAACAUUGAGGAACGAUGGUAUCGUACUACCACAGAGACGCUGAAGAAAGUCAAAUUUCAACGCGAUUUUUAUUAUAUUAUUUUGAACGAGCCAGCAAAAUAUUACGAGACGUGAAAGAAGAAUAUUUGAAUAUUAUAGAAUUUCUUCGAAUAUUGAAAAACAUGAAAAUUCGAAGAAAAUCGAAACGAUGUCGAAGGAAGGACACAAGAUAUAUCGCGUCUCGAAGGUAUCCGGACAUAAUUUACGAGACAUAAUUUACGAGAAAGUUUAUCAUCGUUAUCAAAUACUCUAAAUAACAAUAUUUCAUUGUCAUUUCCUUAUUAUUCGACACAACGAUAUAUAGAACGAUGUAUGUGUACGAUAGCAAGAGAAAAUUGAUUUUUAAAAGCUGUGCUACACGUGCUAACGAAAUUAAUGAGAAAUAUAGUAUAGAAUUGUACCAGAAGUGUUACUCCUAUUCGAAUUGUUUCGUUCUUGAAACGUAUCGUAAAACUUGUAUACGUAAUAUAAUUUGAAGAAACCAACCGAUCCUUCCGUGAGACAGUCUCGGACAAUGGUGAGGUCGGCAACAGGUACCCAACAUUCUCCUAUAAGGCACUUUUUCGUUACGUCCACGUUGAACAGAUUCAUCGUAUGAUAAAUGGCCUUCAUCUUUCGAACCAUAAUCGUCCAAUUGGGUAACUCCUUGGCAACGUUAUGUAACACGCGUUGACGAUGAUCUUGCGUUUGAUUUAAUACCUGAAUGAAACGAAAAAGAAACGAAGAUAUCAACGAUAAAAGAUUCGACGAUCCAUUCCAUAUAAUAUAACCAGCGAAUUCCGGGUUUUCAUAUAUUCGUCGUACAUUUUCAUCAGAAACGAACCGACAGUUAUUCAAACGCGCGUAAACUCGAUUUUCUUCGUACUGAAAAUUAUUAAUAUUUAUGAGAUAUACGUAACAUUAACGAAAAAUAUGUUUUCGAAAAAUAUCUUACAAAAAGCCUGGAGAAAAGUGUAAAUGACUUCCUUACUUUUUACAUUUUUACGCGAAAGUAUUUCAAGGCAUAGAAUUGUACACUUUUCGUUAAUCUAUCUCCUACGAUAUAGGUCCAUUUUAGCAGUUAUUAAUUAGACUAAUAUUUUUCGUACGUAUUGUAAUACUCGUAACAGAAGCUGGAAAUACCUGGAUACUUCGACGAAUCGAAUCUUGAAACGAAAAAACGUUUAAAAGCAAAGGGGAAUCAAUUUACUACUAGGUAGUUACUUUGAUAGCGAAUUACGUAAUCCGCGUUAACCAGCUAGCUGUUCCUGACGAGUAUACUCGUCAUGAAGAAAUGGCAAUACUUUGUGUUAUGAAGAGCCCUGUCGGUAAUAAAAUUAAAAAAUAAGACAAUCGUUUCGUUACAACUUAAUUCCAUAUUACAACAUCCACACGUACUUUGUGUUUGACGAGUAUACUCGUCGUGAAGAAAUGGCAAUAUUUUGUGUUAUGAAGAGCCCUGUCGAUAAUAAAAUUAAAGAAUAAAACAGUCGUAUUGUUACUACUUAAUUCCAUAUUACAUCAGCCACACGUACUUUGUGUUUGACGAGUAUACUCGUCGUGAAGAAAUGGCAAUAUUUUGUGUUAUGAAGAGCCCUGUCGAUAAUAAAAUUAAAAAAUAAAACAGUCGUUUCGUUACAACUUAAUUCCAUAUUACAUCAGCCACACGUACUUUGUGUUUGACGAGUAUACUCGUCGUGAAGAAAUGGCAAUAUUUUGUGUUAUGAAGAGCCCUGUCGAUAAUAAAAUUAAAAAAUAAAACAGUCGUUUCGUUACAACUUAAUUCCAUAUUACAUCAGCCACAUGUACUUUGUGUUUGACGAGUAUGCUCGUCAUCACUUUUACCUUUUGCGACACACUUCAGGUACAUAGUUUUCAAAGUUUUCUAAGAGGUUGCAACAGCUAAAUGGUUAACGAUGUCGCGUGUAUCGUAUACGUACAUAUGUACAAAACUCACCAAGUUCAAGUCUUCCAGUCGCGUUCGAACGCCUUUCACCAUAUCCUCGCGAUCCGCGUGGCUGUGCGGACAUGGGUACAAAGACGCAUGAAAACCACUGCAAACUUUCCUGAUGCGGCUCUUCAGCUG